UACGAAGGGGGCUAGCGUUGUUCGGAAUUACUGGGUGUAAAGCGCACGUAGGCGGAUAUUUAAGUCAGGGGUGAAAUCCCAGAGCUCAACUCUGGAACUGCCUUUGAUACUGGGUAUCUUGAGUAUGGAAGAGGUAAGUGGAAUUGCGAGUGUAGAGGUGAAAUUCGUAGAUAUUCGCAGGAACACCAGUGGCGAAGGCGGCUUACUGGUCCAUAACUGACGCUGAGGUGCGAAAGCGUGGGGAGCAAACAGG
rnacentral:rRNA from 1 species